rnacentral:lncRNA from 1 species
AAUUUAAAAUAAAAGAAAAUAAAAAGACAUAAAGUUUAUCUAAAACCUAAACUAAUUUAAAAUAAAAGAAAAUAAAAAAAUAAGAUAAAAAAAAAUUAAAGAAACGCUUAACUAAAUAUAAAAUGCAUAUUGAAUGCUUGGAAUAAAAAUUAAAAGAAACAAAGGGGCAACCAAUUUGCAGCAGCGUUAAUUCUUCAAUUAAAAGGAAUUGAAAUAGCAUCCCAUCACAAAACCGAAACCACUGCAACUAAAAUCUCUUUCUCCAUAUUUUCUUUAAAGCUAAACUUGUGGCAGCCAAGUNUCCCAUCACUCCACCUAAUUCACCCUUUAAUUUAAUAAAACCAAAGAAACCCCUGCAUCAAUUUUCCAAUUCAAUCUCAAAACUAAAUUGAUAGCAUUGAGUGCCCUUUCUAAAUCAAAUUGAUGGAGCGCCUCUCAUCAAUCACAUCGGCAACAAAUGGAAGAAAUGGAUUAAGACAUACAGCAAAACCGUGACAGCAGCUCACCAAGGUUUUAAUAAAAAAAAUGCAUAGAAACUAAAUGAAAAGGCAAUUAAAAAUCAGCAAAGAAAAUCAUUAGUCACUGAAUGCUUGCUAAAUAAUAAAUAAAUUGAAAUGGGCAGAUUAAAACCAAAUUCCAGCCGUGCACCGUCAUCAUUCUUGCAAGUGAAAUGAAAGCAAUAAAACUAUAAUCACCGGACCCCACCGUUUGCAAUGAAAUCACCUUUCAUUCUAAAAAAAAAAAAAAUCUAAUCCUAAGCUGGACGUGGCAGCCUUUCAUCCAUAAUCAAAUAUUGCAACCAUGUUUCAAUUCCCAAGCUAAGAAAAAAAAUGUUCCAGACCAAAUAAAAAUGAGCUUCAGCCGAGAAUCCCCAAAACGCUACAGCCAAAAAUUCCCUGCACCACCAAGUGACGGCUGGUCUCUUCUAAGGGGCCAUGUGUCCCUCCUAAUAAGGGUGGAGUCCACCCUAAAAUAAAAGGGAACCCUAGG